UACGUAGGGCGCGAGCGUUGUCCGGAAUUAUUGGGCGUAAAGAGCUCGUAGGCGGCUUGUUGCGUCUGCUGUGAAAUCCCGGGGCUUAACCCCGGGCGUGCAGUGGAUACGGGCAGGCUGGAGGCAGGCAGGGGAGAAUGGAAUUCCCGGUGUAGCGGUGAAAUGCGCAGAUAUCGGGAGGAACACCGGUGGCGAAGGCGGUUCUCUGGGCCUGUACUGACGCUGAGGAGCGAAAGCGUGGGGAGCGAACAGG
rnacentral:rRNA from 1 species